CCUACGGGAGGCUGCAGUGAGGAAUAUUGGUCAAUGGGCGGGAGCCUGACCCAGCCAAGCCGCGUGAGGGAAGAAGGUACAGCGUAUCGUAACCCUCUUUUGUCAGGGAACACAGGCGGGGACUAGUCCCCGGAUGAGGGUACCUGAAGAAAAAGCAUCGGCUAACUCCGUUCCAGCAGCCGAGGUAAUACGGAGGAUGCGAGCGUUAUCCGGAUUUAUUGGGUGGAAAGGGUGCGGAGGUUGUUUUUUAAGUCAGCGGUGAAAGUUUGUGGCUCAACGAGAAAAUUGCCGUUGAAACUGGAAGACUUGAGUGUGUGUGAGGUAGGCGGAAUGCGUGGUGUAGCGGUGAAAUGCAUAGAUAUCACGCAGAACACCGAUUGCGAAGGCAGCUGACUAAGCCAUAACUGACACUGAAGCACGAAAGCGUGGGGAUCAAACAGGAUUAGAUACCCGGGUAGUC
rnacentral:rRNA from 1 species